CUAUCAUUUUACUGCCGUUAUGAAUCAUAAAUAUCUGUGUUUUCUGUUGGUCUUAGGUGAACCCUGUGGAAAGGUCGUUAGAUCACCCAAAGGGUCUUGACCCACAGGUUGAGAACUGCUGCUCUAGAUUGUCCUUUCCCCCUGCUGCCCUCAUAUCUAUCUGUCUCAGUACUUCUCUCUGCCUUUUCCUCAUGGCGUUUCCAUAGCUCAUGGAGAAAACAUGAAGGCCAACCACGGGGGCCAUGCUGUCUGGGAUGUGGGAUGCUAGACUGGCUCAGAUCGCCUGUGCCUGCCCCACAGAAUGACGAGGCCUCACUGCUGCUCUCCUGUGGACACCCCUGUACACAGUUAAAUUGUGUGAUCCUAGAGGGCAGCAGAUAACUUAGACACUUCUAAUUUGUGCUCUGUGCCACACUCCACUGAGAAUGGAGUGUCAUCUACACCCUUUGGAUGCUUACUGUUGGACGGCCCGAGCACUCAAGACCUCACUCAUGAAAUGAUCCCUGGAGAGAAGAGAUCUCAUUUCCAGAUGGGAAAACCGAGGCGUAGUGGGGUUGACACUGGAAUCCUCUCGUCAGUGAAUGACAGGUCCAGGAACCAUCGCUUCCAGGUCUUGAUCGUCAAGUCUCACAUCUUGAGAAACCUCAGCAAUGCUGAUUGAUUCACAGCAUCAGGAUUUAUUUGCACUGAAGCCGUGGAGAUCUUCCUACCUCUGCAGUUCCCUACCGCCAGUCACAUUGGUCCUCAUGAGGCACCCCUUGUCUGCUGUCCAGGAGCACUGGGUUCCAAGGAGGCACAGUGUUCUGCCUGCAUUUAUGCCUGCACGCUAGAAGAGGGC